ACAGGGGUACCCAAAUAAAAAAUAAACUUUUUAAUUAUUAUUAUUAUUAUUCAUCAGGUUGUGACAGAAACUCACACUAAUUCAUAUGUUUAAUAAAUGUAUUGUAUAGUGUGUGUGGCAGGCUUACAAUGAUGGCAAAAAACUUCAUUUGAGAGUGUGCUGACCCUGGUGCUAGAGGGGGUACGCAGCUAGAGGUUGAAUGUUUGAAGGGGUACGGGACUAUAAAAAGUUUGGGAACCAAUGUACUAGAGCACUCAAACUUAACUCUGGACCUCAAAGCCAGUCCCAAUACCCUUUUUCAUUAUUUUCCUCUAAUCAGGGACCAGAAAUCCAACAGGCUCUGGACCUCAUAGGGCAGAGUUACCCAAACUCAGUGCACAUUUUGUUUUUGCCCUAACACUACACAGCUGAUAAAAAAAACUAAUCAUCAAGCUUUGAUAAUUUGAAUCAGUUGUGUGCUGUUGGCAUGGUGCAGGAGCAGGGUCAAUAGGAUCAAAGUAGUGGACUGGGGUAGUGGGUUUUUAGAGUGUAGGUGGCAGCUGCAGAGAAGUUCCUGGGUGUACAAUAGUUUACUGCAGAAGACUUAUAAGAUGUACCGACAAAUAACAUGCACAGACAAAAUUUGUGAACGCCAUGAUACCGCAGAAGAAUCCUCAGCUGUGUAGUUUUAGUGCAAAAACAAAACGUCUAUCCCUUGGUGUCCCGAGGACCGAGUUUGGAAAAUGCUGUUGGAGGGUAAGAGUUGAAUACCCCUAUACUAGAGUAUAAUGACAUAUUUUUCUAGAGGGACAGGGACUGUGUGUAAUGUGCGAUUUAACUAAAUUCACUUUGUAUUUAACUGUAGAAUCUUCGUUCUCCAUAGAGACGUUGGAUGCAGAAUUAUACUCCAAUCCCUGACAUCCUACACAUGUUCAGCAGAGAAGAACAUCCAUAGUCAUGGAGCUGCUGCAGCAGCUAGACCACUUCCUACAGACACUUCCACCCAACUGUGUGAUUAGUCUGGUGGGCCAAUGCAUCAAACUGUGGUCAUAGGGAGCUGGGGUGCAGAUGGUGGAGUUGUUUGGGGUAGAGAGAACAGUGGACUCAGUGGAGGACAUCCCAGCCACUUGGCAGUGUUGGCACUGCUACUUCCCACAUGACGGGAGGAGUUGAAGGUGGAGCAUGCCUCGAACCUGCGACGCACCCGGUGAUCUACGGUAUGAUGGCUGACUUUGCAGUUCCUGUUACUUCAAAAACCGAGCGACGCCUUCAUGUUCACCCACGAAGACAUAUCUCCCUUCGCCUCCCUACGACCCCUGAGGGGCACCUUCAACACCUCCUCACCUUGACGACACACACUGUGGCUGAAUCUCAAUAGUCUAGAUAAUAGCUUCCUCUGUCACUUCAGUGAGGACAAUACUGUUCUGGUUACACUAGUAUGUACAGAGGCCCUUGAUCAUCAAAUAUGAACGCUUUUAUGGAGGUUUUGUCUUUUAUUUUGUGAUACUGUUUUUAUGGUCUUUUUGUUUGUAUUGGCUGCACUAAACACAUUUCAAUCAACUCUGUUGAUAUGGCGAUUGCAACAGUUGUCAGUUGGUGUGACUAAAAUACAAUUUCAUGUCUUGUAUAUUUUCCAUGCUUUUUCUUUUAAGAACUUUAUCCUCGAGUGUUAUAAUUUCAGUAACAGCUACUUUGCUUUGGCUCUUAUCACCCCAUAAAUUUGUGUGAA